AAUUAUAUAGUCUAUAAAGGAUUUUAAAUUGCAAAUUUAAAGGUGAAAUUUUAUUCUAUAGUUU
rnacentral:tRNA from 1 species